rnacentral:rRNA from 1 species
UACGUAGGAGGCAAGCGUUGUCCGGAAUCACUGGGCGUAAAGCGCGUGUAGGCGGGAAGCUCAGUCUGUUGUGAAAGCGCCUGGCUUAACCGGGCGAGGUCGAUGGAAACUAGCUACCUGGAGGCCGGUAGAGGGGGGUGGAAUUCCGGGUGUAGUGGUGAAAUGCGUAGAGAUCCGGAGGAACACCAGUGGCGAAGGCGGCCCCCUGGGCCGCGCCUGACGCUGAGACGCGAAAGCGCGGGGAGCGAACGGG